rnacentral:lncRNA from 1 species
UUAGCUGCCCAUGUUUUAUGUAACAAUAUAUUUGAGCUUUUCACAUCACGGUGUAUAACUCCAUGCUUAAUUCCUGUACCCGUGUGAAGAUAAUUUAACCCACGAGCUGCCCCUAUGCAUAUAUUGAGUCGCAGCAUCCAAGGUAGAGGAGUUUGAAGUUUGUGGAGAUGAUCUUCAAGGGUUCCAUGGGGCAUAUAAUCAUAAACAAGGAUUCUUUCAGUCCCAUCAGUGCAAUAACCAAUCAAAGACACCAAGUGACAGUGCCUUAACUUAGAAAGCGUCUCAACUUCUGCCCAAAACUCUACUUCGCCUUGGUUUGAAGUUGAAUCUAACCUCUUGAUGGCAACAAUCAAAAGCAUUACGUCACUAAUGAUGGUUCCUCUGUAAACUUUUCCAAACCCACCACGGCCGAUCACCAAUGACUCAUCGAAGUUUUGGGUUGCUUGCUGAAUCUCUGGAAAGGUAAGCCGGCGACAUGGUUGUCGCCAUUCUAAGGUUGAGGAGGACUCAAGCUCAUGACCGGUAAACAUAAUUACGAAUGUGAGUUAUCACUAGAUUCUGGUUGCAAAUUUUUUAAUAUAUCAUCUAAGACAAUUAUUUGCAGGAGCUUCACAGCGUGAAAGCAUUGGGGGAGCUUUAUAAGGGCAAGGGGGCUGCGGCCCUCCUGAUUUUUUUUAGUUAUAAACAGCCCUCAUACUUUUAUUUUAUACAUUUUUGGUUCAAAAAUAUAAAAUUUUGGUUGUGUCCCCCGAUGUUUAACAAUUUUUUAACAUAUUAUAUUUCCGACCCCCCGAAGCAAACGUUGAAGCUCCGCCCCUGCGUGAAAGGGAAUUCUUAUAUCUUCUUUGUGGUCAAACAAACAUUGAUAUUUCUUCCCAUGAAGAGAUAUUUAUUUUCAUUUAAUUAAAAAUAUUAUUCGAGGGCCGACCUAUAUAACAGUCAUAUAGCGAUGGUUGUAAACCGCGUUUUCUAGGAAAUUAAAAAAUAAAUUCACUGCAUUUGUUGCAGUUUCCAGGAAUGUGCAACAUGAUAUUACAAAUUGCAUUUCUACCAGGGGUUCCUAUCUGCACAAUAACUAGUGUAGGGGAGUGGUUAACCAAACCACUAAAAAGCGUUGCCACCUCAGCGCCACCGCAACUUCACCACCAACUCAUUUGAUAUUGGAAAUGGUUACAGCUCCACAAUUUUUUUUAAUGAUUAAAUUAAAUAAAAAAAUAUAAUAAAAUAUUUAACAUUAAUUGAAACCAUAUUACAUUAAUUAAAAAACAUAGAAAAAUAAACCUAAAAAAUUAAAAAUUAAAGCUAAAUUACUAAAAAAACAUAGAAAAUUAAACCUAAAAUACCAAAAAAAAAAAAAAAAAAACAUAAAAAUAUAGAAAAUUAAACCCAAAUUACUAAAAAAACAUAAAAAAACAUGGAAAAUUAAACCUAAAUUACUAAAAAAGAACAUAGAAAAUUGAACCUGGAUUACUAAAAAAAUAACAUAAAAACAUAGAAUCUACUUGCGAUAUUUUUCGAGAACUUGUUGAAUUUUAAAAAACACCCUUAAAUUUUCCGAAUUGAUAUUUAUCGAGAAAUAGUUGAAUUUUUAAAAACCUGUUCGUCGUCGUCGCCAUUUUGUUGAGAUUUAUAGGUUAGGAUGAAGAUAAUGGAACUUGAGAUGGUUGUGAAGGUUGUGCGUGAAAUUGUUGAUGUUGAGAAGUUUGGGGUUGAAAUCACGGAGAAGGUUAUUGUUGAAAGGCUUGAAAUUGGGGUUGAUUGAAUUGUGAUGGUUGUUGUUGGUAGUAGUGUGGGUAGUAUGAAAGAUUGAUGAAUAAAAGUUGUUGUUGGAUUGAAGAUGAUAUCAAUUGCAUGUAACUAAGAUUUCCUAAUGGAUCAUUUGGAGUAUUCGGGGUGUUUGGAGUUGGUGAGGUAUUUUGGUUUGGAUCCAUAGGUAGAAGGUAAAAAAUAUAUGAGAAGAGAAUGUUUUUAUAUUGUACAUUGUUAAAAAAAUAUAGGGUAUUUACGGUUGAAGUUGAUAGGUUUUUAAAUUGAAAAAGAUUUUUUUAUUUUUUUAAUGUGCAACCGAUAAAAAUUGGUCACAAUGAUCUUUGCCACUUUCCUCUUCUCCCAUUGAACAUCUCGUUCCGUCGUGACUCACGCCACAAAGCACUAACCCUAAAGGUGACAACUCAACAUAACGUGUGGGUUUGUAUACCCACUCACACAACAUUAUCUUGUAUAUGUUUGUCAUAAUUUGCAUAAAAGUUAGAGAGGCUGUUACAUCACUUUAUGUCAUAGAUCCUUAUGUUUUUUUUUUUUUUCAUUUGACCCCUUUAAGAUAAAAAAAAUAUUUUAAAAGAAACCUUUAAUUUUUUAAAUUUUACUUUAAACUCUAGUUUGAGAUAUAUAAAUAAAUAUAUAUAAUAAUCUUAAUAAAUUAAAAACAUCAAAACACCUCUUAUAAUCUACUAAAAAAUACAUGUAGACUUUAUAAUUUUAUACUUAGAUUUUAAAAUUAAAGGUAUGAUACAAUCCAACAAAUUUAUUAGAUAAAAUUAUAUAAAUGUUCCAUAUAAUGUAUCAAAUGUCACAAAUUCAAUCUGUAAUACUUUUUUGACAAAAAUGAUCUUUAUGGUUUUCAAAACUUGUAUCAAAUGUCACAAAUUCAAUCUUGCUAAACCCCAGUGAUCCUCAUCAAGAGUUCUAUCCGUUGUUCGUUUCCCACAAAGUACUUCAAACAUUACUACACCAAACGCAUACACAUCGGAUUUUCUUGUCAACCUACCAGUUGAGAAGUAAUCUGGAUCUAGAUAUCCGAAUGUUCCUUUCACAACAGUGCUUACGUGUGUGGACUGCUGAUUUGUUGGACCUAUCUUGGACAAUCCAAAGUCAGAAAUCUUAGCUACCCAUGUUUUACGUAACAAUAUAUUUGAGCUUUUCACAUCACGGUGUAUAACUCCAUGCUUAAUUCCUGUACCCGUGUGAAGAUAAUUUAACCCACGAGCUGCCCCUAUGCAUAUAUUGAGUCGUAGCAUCCAAGGUAGAGGAGUUUGAAGUUUGUGGAGAUGAUCUUCAAGGGUUCCAUGGGGCAUAUAAUCAUAAACAAGGAUUCUUUCGGUCCCAUCAUUGCAAUAACCAAUCAAAGACACCAAGUGACAGUGCCUUAACA